rnacentral:lncRNA from 1 species
UUUAUGAUGUUAUUAAAAGUAGCAGUAGAGAACUUAUAUCUUUCUUCUAAUUUGGAUAGCAUGCUUUAGCAUUUACUUUUUAUUUUUAUUCAUUAUUAUUUUUAUUAUCCUUACUAAUAUUCAUGUCAGUAACAACAUAGAUUAUUUUCUUUUGAUUCUUACUAGCUUAGACCUUUCUUUUAAUUUGGUAAAAAUAUAUUAUUU